AUUGAACGCUGGCGGCAUGCUUUACACAUGCAAGUCGAACGGCAGCGCGGGCUUCGGCCUGGCGGCGAGUGGCGAACGGGUGAGUAAUACAUCGGAACGUGCCCAGUAGUGGGGGAUAGCUCGGCGAAAGCCGGAUUAAUACCGCAUACGACCUGAGGGUGAAAGCGGGGGAUCUUCGGACCUCGCGCUAUUGGAGCGGCCGAUGGCGGAUUAGCUAGUUGGUGGGGUAAAGGCCUACCAAGGCGACGAUCUGUAGCUGGUCUGAGAGGACGACCAGCCACACUGGGACUGAGACACGGCCCAGACUCCUACGGGAGGCAGCAGUGGGGAAAUUUGGACAAUGGGCGAAAGCCUGAUCCAGCAAUGCCGCGUGUGUGAUGAAGGCCUUCGGGUUGUAAAGCACUUUUGGCGGGAACGAAAAGGACUGUGCCAAUACCACGGUUCGAUGACGGUACCCGCAGAAUAAGCACCGGCUAACUACGUG
rnacentral:rRNA from 1 species